rnacentral:rRNA from 1 species
UACGAAGGGGGCUAGCGUUGCUCGGAAUUACUGGGCGUAAAGGGCGCGUAGGCGGAUCGUUAAGUCAGGGGUGAAGUCCCGGGGCUCAACCUCGGAACUGCCCUUGAUACUGGCGAUCUUGAGUAUGAGAGAGGUAUGUGGAACUCCGAGUGUAGAGGUGAAAUUCGUAGAUAUUCGGAAGAACACCAGUGGCGAAGGCGACAUACUGGCUCAUUACUGACGCUGAGGCGCGAAAGCGUGGGGAGCAAACAGG